UCAGGAUGAACGCUGGCGGCGUGCUUAACACAUGCAAGUCGAACGAUGAUCCUCAGCUUGCUGGGGGGAUUAGUGGCGAACGGGUGAGUAACACGUGAGUAACCUGCCCUUGACUCUGGGAUAAGCCUGGGAAACCGGGUCUAAUACUGGAUAUGACCUUCUGGCGCAUGCCAUGUUGGUGGAAAGCUUUUGUGGUUUUGGAUGGACUCGCGGCCUAUCAGCUUGUUGGUGGGGUAAUGGCUUACCAAGGCGACGACGGGUAGCCGGCCUGAGAGGGUGACCGGCCACACUGGGACUGAGACACGGCCCAGACUCCUACGGGAGGCUAGCUAGUGGGGAAUAUUGCACUAAUGGGCGCUAAGCUCUGAUGCAGCGACGCCGCGUGAGGGAUGAAGGCCUUCGGGUUGUAAACCUCUUUCAGUAGGGAAGAAGCUGGUCCUUUUGGGGGUUGGUGACGGUACCUGCAGAAG
rnacentral:rRNA from 1 species